rnacentral:lncRNA from 1 species
CUCAACCUUAGCCUCGCACAGAACCCUAAGUCAGAUGACAGUCAGCCCUGUGCGUGGCCAGGGAGUGACCACUAUGACGGAGAACCAGUCAUCUCACAAUGACCCCACAAGGGCACAGAGGAGAGGACAGGUGGGAGGUCAGUGCAGGCCUGUUCCACAAGGUGCCUCAACUCAUUGUACACGUCUUUCCAAGGAUAGAUACCAUUUUCAUGAUUUUGGAGAUUCUAAAGAGACCGUGAAGGCACCUGGCCUCUGGCUACCGCUAACUUUGCUGAGGCUGAGAUGCAGAAAGGGGAGGUGUUGGAACCGAUGAGCAACGUGUGAGCCUUGCUGAAUGUUCAGGGCUGUGUCCCAGUAGUCUCCUGUGGUGCUCCCUGCUCCGACCCAUUCUGCACAUACAUGCUAUUGGGAAAUUUUCUACCAUUGAGGUGUUUGCAAAUUAAAGGAACAAGAAACUAUCAAGGGCCUACAUAAUGACUUUGGGCAAAGUUUUGUUUGAACUCCAACAAAUCGUGGGUAGAGAACGCAGUCCUCAUCCAGUUUAGGAUGUGUAAGGUCGGGGCACCUGGACAACUCAGUUAAGUAUCUGCCUUUGACUCAGGUCAUGAUCCCAGGGUCCUGGGACCAAGCACAGCAUCAGGCGCUGCUCAGCAGGAGGCCUGCUUCUCCCACUCUCUCCGUGUUCUCUUGCUCUCACUCUUGUUCUCUCUCCAAUAAAUAAAUAAAAUCCUUUAAAAAAAUUACUGGU